rnacentral:rRNA from 1 species
UUAGCGGGUCCGAGUUGUAAUUUGCAGAGGAUGCUUUUGGCGAGGCGCCUUCCGAGUUCCCUGGAACGGGACGCCGGAGAGGGUGAGAGCCCCGUACGGUCGGUCGCCUAGCCUCUGUAAAGCUCCUUCGACGAGUCGAGUAGUUUGGGAAUGCUGCUCUAAACGGGAGGUAAACCCCUUCUAAAGCUAAAUACCGGCCAGAGACCGAUAGCGCACAAGUAGAGUGAUCGAAAGAUGAAAAACACUUUGAAAAGAGAGUCAAACAGCACGUGAAAUUGUUGAAAGGGAAGCGCUUGUGGCCAGACCUGGGCCCGGCAGCUCAACCGUCCCUCGUGGGCGGUGCACUCUGCCGGGUGCAGGCCAGCAUCAGCUCGUGGCGGGGGAGAAAGGCGGCGGGAACGUGGCUCUUCGGAGUGUUAUAGCCCGCCCUACGCCCCACCGCGGGCUGAGGUUCGCCUCCGCAAGGAUGCUGGCGUAAUGGCCAUCAGCGACCCGUCUUGAAACACGGACCAAGGAGCGGUCCUAACAUGCGAGUGNGCGNNGCCAAAACCCCUACGCGGAAUGAAAGUGAA